rnacentral:rRNA from 1 species
AGUGAACGCUGGCGGUAGGCCUAACACAUGCAAGUCGAACGGCAGCACAGUAAGAGCUUGCUCUUACGGGUGGCGAGUGGCGGACGGGUGAGGAAUACAUCGGAAUCUACUUUUUCGUGGGGGAUAACGUAGGGAAACUUACGCUAAUACCGCAUACGACCUACGGGUGAAAGCAGGGGAUCUUCGGACCUUGCGCGAUUGAAUGAGCCGAUGUCGGAUUAGCUAGUUGGCGGGGUAAAGGCCCACCAAGGCGACGAUCCGUAGCUGGUCUGAGAGGAUGAUCAGCCACACUGGAACUGAGACACGGUCCAGACUCCUACGGGAGGCAGCAGUGGGGAAUAUUGGACAAUGGGCGCAGGCCUGAUCCGGCCAUACCGCGUGGGUGAAGAAGGCCUUCGGGUUGUAAAGCCCUUUUGUUGGGAAAGAAAAGCAGCAGGUUAAUACCCCGCUGUUCUGACGGUACCCAAAGAAUAAGCACCGGCUAACUUCGUG